rnacentral:misc_RNA from 1 species
UAAUAAGUGUUUUAUGGCACUUUUUAAAUCCAUAUCCACCUUGUGUGCAAUGUCAGUCGAUCUUCUUCAUGGAGAUCGACCAAACAUCAACCUUUAUCUUUUAACUCUUUGUCUGAAAAAUAUUAUGAAUAAACAAUUCAAAAUACAACUUUCAACAACGGAUCUCUUGGCUCUCGCAUCGAUGGAGAACGCAGCGAAAUGCGAUACGUAAUGUGAAUUGCAGAAUUCAGUGAAUCAUCGAAUCUUUGAACGCAUAUUGCGCUCUUUGGUAUUCCGAAGAGCAUGCUUGUUUGAGUAUCAGUAAACACCUCAAAGCUUUUGGAUUUUUUAAUCGAAAAGCUUUGGACUUGAGCAAUCCCAACACCAAUCUUUUUGAGAUCGGUGGCGGGUUGCUUGAAAUGCAGGUGCAGCUGGACAUUCUCCUGAGCUAAAAGCAUAUUCAUUUAGUCCCGUCAAACGGAUUACUACUUUUGCUGCAGCUAACAUAAAGGGAGUUUGACCGUAUUGGCUGACUGAUGCAGGAUUUCACAAGGGUCGGCAACGACUCUUGUUAAACUCGAUCUCAAAUCAAGUAAGACUACCCGCUGAACUUAAGCAUAUCAAUAAGCGGAGGAAUCGCCAACUUGGUCAUUUAGAGGAAGUAAAAGUCGUAACAAGGUUUUCGUAGGUGAACCUGCGAAAGGAUCAUUAACGAGUUAGGGUCCUCUAGGCCCGACCUCCCAACCCUUUGCUUACCGAACCUCUGUUGCUUCGGCGGGCCCGUCUCACGACCGCCGGAGGACCGCCGCAGGGCGUGUCCUCUAGCCCGUGUCCGCCGAUAGCCAACUACAAAACUCUGUAUAAAUCAUGUCUCAUGUCUAAGUCAAAUUGAAUUAAAAGCA